CCUACGGGAGGCAGCAGUAGGGAAUCUUUCACAAUGGGCGAAAGCCUGAUGGAGCAACGCCGCGUGCAGGAUGAAGGCCUUCGGGUUGUAAACUGCUUUUAUAAGCGAGAAAUAUGAUGGUAACUUAUGAAUAAGGAUCGGCUCACUACGUGCCAGCAGCCGCGGUCAUACGGAGGAUCCGAGCAUUAUCCGGAGUGACUGGGUGUAAAGAGUUGCGUAGGUGGCAUAAUAAGUAGCUAGUGAAAUCUGGUGGCUCAACCAUUCAGACUAUUAGCUAAACUGUUAAGCUCGAGACCGGUAGGGGUAACUGGAAUUUCUAGUGUAGGAGUGAAAUCCGUAGAUAUUAGAAGGAACACCAAUAGCGUAGGCAGGUUGCUGGGACGGUUCUGACACUAAGGCACGAAAGCGUAGGGAGCAAACGGGAUUAGAUACCCCUGUAUC
rnacentral:rRNA from 1 species